rnacentral:lncRNA from 1 species
CUAGAGAGGUUGAUUGGCUAAUAGGCCCGUCCUGUAACGGUUCAUCUCGCGCGGGGAGAAUAGCGAGCCCACCUUUUCAUCCUUUUCAUUGGUCUGUAACCCCUCCCCUUGGCCUCUAAUUGGAAAGUGGAACCAUCAGUUAAGGCAAUUUUCGGAGGCGCGGCUGAAGAGAAAAUCUCGCGAGGAACUAUUCUUUCACCUCCUUCACUCUUCCUUCAUCUCGUCUGGUGUCUGAAUAGAGAAUUUAAAUCUGGUUGGGCGCCUACAAGGAACCUGAUAGGCUUCAAGGCGUGUCAAUCAAGAUGUGAAGCCUUCAAUUUCCCACCUUAAAGGGAAAGGCUCUGCGACCGAAGGAGGAGACUGAAGGUGAAGAACUGAGCGCGCGGUUGCGUGGUGACGUUGCAAGCGCCUGGGGCUUUGAGCGCGUUUGGCCGCGCCCUUGGCGCGCGGUCUCUGGUCUAGAUCAUUAACAAGAGAAACAUCAAGCCCUGAUCUAUAGUGCAGAUUUCCAAGGUGUUGAUAAUUUUAACAACCAGCUGUCAGAGGUGCCACUUCUCUACGGAUGGGAGAAAGGGGAACCUCUCUACAACAUCCUUGCAUCUUGGAGAUGUGCCCCAGCAGCCCAGCUUCAAGUGCUUUCUGUGACCAGCAGUAUUCUUGUUAAAGCUGAAGUCUGUUCCAUUGUUGGACAGCUCCAGGUGCUGUCAAAUUCUUCAUCUUGCUGAACUAAGUAAUCUAGCCCUUUGGAAGCCUAAAUGGUUUCUUUCUUUCUUUCUUUUUUUUCUUUUCAAGCUAGAAGUAGAAUGUAGACCUAUACCCACACCAUUAAAAUGUGUCUGCCAGGGGAAGCUGGCCUUUUAAUCACAGCCAGAGGGUAUGAGCUCAGUUCCUUGGAAUCAGUGUUUUUAUUUCUUUUGAACAAUAAAACUUCAAGAGCAAAAGUGAUUUU